rnacentral:rRNA from 1 species
UGGGGAAUUUUCCNCAAUGGGCGAAANCCUGACGGAGCAAUACCGCGUGAGGGAUGACGGCCUAUGGGUUGUAAACCUCUUUUUUCAGGGAGGAAUAAAUGACGUGUACCUGAAGAAUAAGCAUCGGCUAACUCCGUGCCAGCMGCCGCGGUAAGACGGGGGAUGCAAGUGUUAUCCGGAAUCACUGGGCGUAAAGCGUCUGUAGGUGGUUUAAUAAGUCAACUGUUAAAUCUUGAGGCUCAACCUCGAAAUCGCAGUCGAAACUAUUAGACUAGAGUAUAGUAGGGGUAAAGGGAAUUUCCAGUGGAGCGGUGAAAUGCGUAGAUAUUGGAAAGAACACCGAUGGCGAAGGCACUUUACUGGGCUAUUACUAACACUGAGAGACGAAAGCUAGGGUAGCAAAUGGGAUUAGAUACCCCAGUAGUCCUACGCCGUAAACAAUGGAUACUAGAUGUUGAACAGAUCGACCUGUGCAGUAUCAAAGCUAACGCGUUAAGUAUCCCGCCUGGGAAGUAUGCUCGCAAGAGUGAAACUCAAAG